CCUACGGGAGGCAGCAGUGGGGAAUUUUGGACAAUGGGCGCAAGCCUGAUCCAGCAAUGCCGCGUGCAGGAAGAAGGCCUUCGGGUUGUAAACUGCUUUUGUACGGAACGAAACGGUCUGGGUUAAUACCUCGGGCUAAUGACGGUACCGUAAGAAUAAGCACCG
rnacentral:rRNA from 1 species